AAUAACCUUAUUUUUUGUUUUUCCAUGUGCAACGUUUGACUAUUCAUCUUAUUUGAAAAAUUUGUGCAAAAACCUAAAAAAAUAGUCACGUAUAAAAUACUAUUUAUAUUUUAUCAUCUAGUAAUAAUAAAAAUAUUAAUCGCAAAAAAUUUCAAAUAAGACGAAUGGUCAAACGUUGGACACGAAAAACGAAAAAUAAGGUUAUU
rfam:Oryza brachyantha chromosome 2, whole genome shotgun sequence.